GGCAGCUGUCUUAGAGCUGCCACGGCAUUGGCGUGUUAAUAGGGCUGUGCAUGGCCGUACAGUCUGGUUAGAGAAUC
rfam:Prevotella multisaccharivorax DSM 17128 genomic scaffold scaffold_3, whole genome shotgun sequence.